GGACUGACAGGACGAAGAGGAGCUCGGCCACCCACUCUGCACAGGGAAGGGGAGGUGAGAAGAGAGGCAGUGCGGCAGCCAUCUGAGCACUCUCUAUAGAGCGCUCAGGCUGCUGCAGCAUUAGAAGGGCCGGCGAUGGGGGCGCAGGGCGCCCCCGGCAGCCAUAUAGACCCUAUACCCGGCGUAUAAGACGACCCCCGACUUUGGAGAAGAUUUUCCAGGGUUAAAAAGUCAUCUUAUACGCCAGAAAAU